CCUACGGGAGACAGCAGUGGGGGAUAUUGCACAAUGGGGGAAACCCUGAUGCAGCGACGCCGCGUGGGUGAAGAAGUAUUUCGGUAUGUAAAGCCCUAUCAGCAGGGAAGAAAGAAGACGGUACCUGACUAAGAAGCCCCGGCUAACUACGUGCCAGCAGCCGCGGUAAUACGUAGGGGGCGAGCGUUAUCCGGAUUCACUGGGUGUAAAGGGAGCGUAGACGGCCGUGCAAGCCAGGAGUGAAAGCCCGGGGCCCAACCCCGGGACUGCUCUUGGAACUGUGCGGCUGGAGUGCGGGAGGGGCAGGCGGAAUUCCUGGUGUAGCGGUGAAAUGCGUAGAUAUCAGGAGGAACACCGGCGGCGAAGGCGGCCUGCUGGACCGCGACUGACGUUGAGGCUCGAAAGCGUGGGGAGCGAACAGGAUUAGAUACCCUUGUAGUC
rnacentral:rRNA from 1 species